rnacentral:rRNA from 1 species
UGAGUACGAGAUGCUACGGCGUCGAAGCAGUCUAGGUCAUACUUCCAAGAAAAGCUUGCACUGUCAUAAACAAAGAAUGCCUGUACCAUAACCGACACAGGUGGGUAGGUAGAGUAUACUAAGGGGCGCGAGAUAACUCUCUCUAAGGAACUCGGCAAAAUGACUCCGUAACUUCGGGAGAAGGAGUGCCUUAUUUUUAAGGUUGCAAUAACAAGAUCCGAGCAACUGUUUACCAAAAACACAGGUCUCCGCUAAGUCGUAAGACGAUGUAUGGGGGCUGACGCCUGCCCAGUGCCAGAAGGUUAAAGAAGUUGGUUAGCAUUCGCGAAGCUGAUAACUGAAGCCCUGGUGAACGGCGGCCGUAACGAUAACGGUCCUAAGGUAGCGAAAUUCCUUGUCGGGUAAGUUCCGACCCGCACGAAAGGCGUAAUGAUUUGUAUACUGUCUCGGAGAGGGGCUCGGUGAAAUAGACUUGUCUGUGAAGAUGCGGACUACCUGCACCUGGACAGAAAGACCCUAUGAAGCUUUACUGUAACUUGAGAUUGAAAUUGGACUUUAUUUGCGCAGUAUAGGUGGGAGGCGUUGAGAAUAAUCUUGCGGGAUUAUCGGAGCCAUCAGUGAGAUACCACUCUUGUAAUGUUAGAUUUCUAACUUUGUAUCAUUAUCUGGUCAGAGAACAGUUUCAGGCGGGCAGUUUGACUGGGGCGGUCGCCUCCCAAAGGGUAACGGAGGCGCACAAAGGUUUCCUCUGAACGGGUAGAAAUCGUAUCUAGAGUGUAAAGGCAUAAGGAAGCUUGACUGUGAGACCUACAAGUCGAGCAGGGACGAAAGUCGGUCUUAGUGAUCUGACGGUGCUGAGUGGAAAGGCCGUCACUCAACGGAUAAAAGUUACUCUAGGAUAACAGGCUGAUCUCCCCCAAGAGUUCACAUCGACGGGGAGGUUUGGCACCUCGAUGUCGGCUCAUCGCAUCCUGGGGCGGUAGUACGUCCCAAGGGUUGGGCUGUUCGCCCAUGAAAGCGGUACGCGAGCUGGGUUCAGAACGUCGUGAGACAGUUCGGUCCAUAUCCGGUGUAGGCGUUAGAAUAUUGAAAGGAGCCUUCUCUAGUACGAGAGGACCGAGAAGGACAUACCUCUGGUGUGCCAGUUAUCGUGCCAACGGUAAACGCUGGGUAGCUAUGUAUGGAGUGGAUAACCGCUGAAAGCAUCUAAGUGGGAAGCCCACCUUAAGAUAAGUAUUCUCAUC